CUCAGGGAGGUAGUGACAAGAAAUAACAACACUGGAAAUUUUAUUUCUAGUGAUUGGAAUGAUGGGAAUUUAAACCCCUUUCAGAGUAACAAUUGGAGGGCAAGUCUGGUGCCAGCAGCCGCGGUAAUUCCAGCUCCAAUAGCGUAUAUUAAAGUUGUUGCAGUUAAAAAGCUCGUAGUUGGAUGUCUGCUGGAAGCAAUCAGUCCGCCCUAUUUGUAGGGUGUGCACUUGAUGAAUUCUGGCAUUUUUGUCCCAAUGAUGUAACGGGGCGGUGGUAUUCGGUGAAAGCCGAGUAUCCUGUUUUCCGAUUAUUGGGAUACUGUUACUUUGAGAAAAUUAGAGUGUUUGAAGCAGGCUAAUUGCCUUGAAUACUGCAGCAUGGAACAACAAUAUAGGAUUUCGGUUCUAUUUUGUUGGUUUCUAGGACUGAAAUAAUGAUUAAUAGGGACAGUUGGGGGCAUUCGUAUUUAACUGUCAGAGGUGGAAUUCUUAGAUUUGUUAAAGACGAACUACUGCGAAAGCAUUUGCCAAAGAUGUUUUCAUUAAUCAAGAACGAAAGUUAGGGGCUCGAAGACGAUCAGAUACCGUCGUAGUCUUAACCAUAAACUAUGCCGACUAGAGAUAGGAAAAUGUCAUUUUGCUGACUU
rnacentral:rRNA from 1 species